CCGGGUGCGAGCGGCCGCGAGCCUCGACGUGCACCUAGCCUGGCGCCUGUUGUUGUUGCCGCCGCGGCGGUUGUUGUCGUCGUCGUGCUAACGCCACGCGGGGGAUCGUUGUGCCACGCAGAGACAGCGGCGGCGGCGGGCUGGACCAGCCGGGCCGCAGUCCUCGCCGCGUCCCUCGCCCUGGCGGCCACGCUGCUGCUGCUGCUGCUGCCGCUCUACCGCCGCCGGCGCCGGCGCCGGCUUGCGCCCCGGGGAGCCACGGAGGAGACCCCCACCCUCCCCAAGCCACCGCGGAGAAGCACGGAGUGCGACCUUGGCCAGUGGCUACCGCUAGGGAGUGACAUCGAGAAGGAUGAGGAGCUACACGAGUUGCAACCGCAGACUCAGCACCAAGACAGCGGAGAGGGCAACUACAACUACAGGCGUUUCAAGAACGAAGAUGACGACGAGGUGUGGGAUGAGAAGGUUUGAGAAGCGGGGGGGGGGGGGGGGGGUGGGAGGAGCCACGUGGGUGGGAGGAGCCACGUGGGGUGGCUCUGGGUGUGUGUGGGGCGCCGUGUUUUGGUUCUGAAUCUGAAUCUGCUCGCCUCAGCCACGUGCCCCGGGAUGUUUUGGCUGCAAGCGCUUCUCACUUUGGCGACGAUCGUGGUCGUGGUUGUUGUUGUUGUCUGACGCUCGCGUCCCCUCCACCGCCACAACAACAACAACCGCUCCACGUGUACGCGUUGUUGCUGCUUCUGUCGUUGUUGUUGUUAUUGUUGUUGUUAUUGUUGUUGUUGCGUGAUCACAACCGAGUGAUGUUCUUCAGCACCACCGGGGGGAUGUUUGGCUAAUGCCGGUUACAAUCGGUGCCCUGGGUUUGGC